rnacentral:rRNA from 1 species
AUUGAACGCUGGCGGCAGGCUUGACACAUGCAAGUCGAGCGGGGGAGGUUGCUUCGGUAACUGACCUAGCGGCGGACGGGUGAGUAAUGCUUAGGAAUCUGCCUAUUAGUGGGGGACAACAUUCCGAAAGGAAUGCUAAUACCGCAUACGUCCUACGGGGGAAAGCAGGGGAUCUUCGGACCUUGCGCUAAUAGAUGAGCCUAAGUCGGAUUAGCUAGUUGGUGGGGUAAAGGCCUACCAAGGCGACGAUCUGUAGCGGGUCUGAGAGGAUGAUCCGCCACACUGGGACUGAGACACGGCCCAGACUCCUACGGGAGGCAGCAGUGGGGAAUAUUGGACAAUGGGCGGAAGCCUGAUCCAGCCAUGCCGCGUGUGUGAAGAAGGCCUUUUGGUUGUAAAGCACUUUAAGCGAGGAGGAGGCUCCUUUAGUUAAUACCUAAAGAGAGUGGACGUUACUCGCAGAAUAAGCACCGGCUAACUCUGUGCCAGCCGCCGCUGUAAUAC